rnacentral:lncRNA from 7 species
CAACAAACACUAUUCUUAGUAGGGCCAGUUCAGCCUCACAGGUGACACCUUUUAUCCUCCAAGACUGCUAUUCAAGGGCGAUGUCUGGAAGAUUCUCCAAGGCUGUCAUCUCAUGCUGUUGGAUCGCCUGAUCUCUUUCUAAAGUCAUUUGAUCCAAGUCUGCUUGAAGCUUCUCGAUCUGUUCAUCAUAGUCUCGCUGCAAUUGACGCUUCUCUUCCUGAGCCAAGCUAAGGAAAGUAGAUACCAUCCCCAACCUUCACUCCACAGCUCGGUAUGCUUUCAUCACUGCAAACAUCAACACCUCAGAUGGGUUCGAUGACUCCAAGCGAUUAGCGGCGGCAGGAGUUAAUCCACAACCAUCGGUGUUCAACAGGGUGACUCCACAUCCUCCAGCAACCUGCUCUGACUUCGCCGGACGUCGGCCGAGGCCAAUACCUACCAAGUGCGAGGUCGGUGAAAGAAAAGGAAAGACCUGGAAGACUCGAUCGUUUCAACACGUAUCAGAUCCGAUCUAAUUUCGCCAGCAAGCCUAGAAGAUGCACCUACGAUGCGUGAUUAGAGUCAGACCCAAGCAUCCAUGCCGAAUUAAAGUCUCCAUGUAACUCUGCAUGCAUCCUGCGUUGCUCAGAUCAACACAUCGGGUCAUCACCUUUGCAAGACUACGUCGAUCCAAUGUCAAAGGACGGAGUAGCAUGUGUUUGUCUAUACAUGGUCGUACAAGCUAGCAUCCAUGCUUUAGAUCAGAUACGGAGUAAUCCAUGAUUAAUUAGCAGCCAGCCAGAGCUACGUUUUCAUUGGUCCCCUGCAGGACUCCGUCGAUACAAGCAAAGAAAGCCUGUGAAUAUGACAUGGCGACAUCGACAACGUCAGCCUGAUCCGAGCUAAAAAAUUAAUUGUGCUUCUCAUCGUCAACGUCCUGCGGCAGUCUCGUCGUUGUCCGAGCUAUCAAAACCAACCCUCUGAGCUGUUCAGCAACCGUCCGAGCUGUUCAGCGAUUGUCCGAGCUGUCGAGCAAGCUCUCUGGGCUGUCAAGCAAGUCGUCCGAGCUUCCAUCAAGCCGUCCGAGCUGCUCAGUAAGCUCUCUAAGCUGUCUGCUCGGACAUCUCGACACACCGACUACUCCACUCAGCAUCUAUCAAGCUAAGUCAUAUUUUUAAUAUUUUUCUAAAUAUUCUUUAAUCGCCAUACAUCUUCUUUAUAAAUCAUCGCCGACCACCCUAAGUACAUGUUUAGCAUCUAAUAAUGUUUCUCCGUCUUCUUCUCUUAACGGUCGCUAAAGUACUCGGGUAGCACACGCCUUAAUCCAUAUGAAACCUUGGCUCUCUCGUGACGCUCCAACCCUACGCGUGCAUGUAGCUCUGCGCUCUACGCUAUGACAUCCGGACUGACGGGGACCAUGUGCUUAAACGUAACAGGCUAACUACCUGGGGAAAUUACAUGGCCUAACAAGAUCAAGAAACGAAAAAUUUUAUCACUCAUUCGUAUAUAAAAUUGUCAACGUCUAUUUUCUCCGAUCUCUUUUACUAAAACUUGCACAGUCUUCAGUGAUAAUUUCUAGCAGCUCCUAACUGUUUUUUCUAGAAGCAACCCUGUCUAACAGAGGCUUCUUAACGACACUGGUUUACCUAUACAGCAUACGGGCUCCACGCUUAACGCUUUGGUUACGUCAGUUAGUCAGGGCUAAGAAUUCAGAAAUAGACGACUUGCUUUAAAACGACUACUUCUACAUGCAUUUUACAAUGCUAGGACGAUCCGCUCCUAAAUCAAUAUCAUGUACUACCCAUUCUCUAUAUUUAUUUUGCAGGAACUAGGUUCGGUCGCCGAGUCUAAUUUUUACACUCGAGGACUGGAUCUUGUUGCUCAGACUGCGCAUCCAGCCACGCUGGGACUCAUCGCCGAGCUCUCGCUGCUCGGACUACGCCUCCAGUCAUGCUGGGGACUCUUUUGCCGAGCUUUCGUCGCUCGGACUGCGCCUCCAGCCACGCUAGGGACUCGUCGCCGAGCUCUCGCUGCUCGGACUACGCCUAUAGUCAUGCUGUGGACUCUUCGCUGAGCUUUCGCCACUCGGACUGCGUCUCCAGCCACGCUGGUGGGGACUCUUCACCGAGCUCUCGCCGCUCGGACUGCGCCUCUGGCCACACUGGGGACUUGUCGCCGAGCUCUCACUGCUCCUUGUUGGGCUCGCGUCCCAUGCUGGU